rfam:Anaeromyces robustus strain S4 BCR32scaffold_536, whole genome shotgun sequence.
AUCCUCUCAGGCCUAUUGGCUAAGAUCAAGUGUAGUAUCUGUUCUUUUCAGUGUGACAACUGAAACGAGGUAUCUUGUACCUCUUGUUGUCUUGCUUAUUUUUGUAAAUCGUUGAGGUUUCAUUAGCUUGCUAAUGUCCUUGACAUCGGUGUUCCUAGUAUUGCACUACAUCUGGGUUACGCCAAGAACCU